AUGCAAGUCGAGCGAACGGACGAGAAGCUUGCUUCUCUGAUGUUAGCGGCGGACGGGUGAGUAACACGUGGAUAACCUACCUAUAAGACUGGGAUAACUUCGGGAAACCGGAGCUAAUACCGGAUAAUAUUUUGAACCGCAUGGUUCAAAAGUGAAAGACGGUCUUGCUGUCACUUAUAGAUGGAUCCGCGCCGCAUUAGCUAGUUGGUAAGGUAACGGCUUACCAAGGCAACGAUGCGUAGCCGACCUGAGAGGGUGAUCGGCCACACUGGAACUGAGACACGGUCCAGACUCCUACGGGAGGCAGCAGUAGGGAAUCUUCCGCAAUGGGCGAAAGCCUGACGGAGCAACGCCGCGUGAGUGAUGAAGGUCUUCGGAUCGUAAAACUCUGUUAUUAGGGAAGAACAAAUGUGUAAGUAACUAUGCACGUCUUGACGGUACCUAAUCAGAAAGCCACGGCUAACUACGUGCCAGCAGCCGCGGUAAUACGUAGGUGGCAAGCGUUAUCCGGAAUUAUUGGGCGUAAAGCGCGCGUAGGCGGUUUUUUAAGUCUGAUGUGAAAGCCCACGGCUCAACCGUGGAGGGUCAUUGGAAACUGGAAAACUUGAGUGCAGAAGAGGAAAGUGGAAUUCCAUGUGUAGCGGUGAAAUGCGCAGAGAUAUGGAGGAACACCAGUGGCGAAGGCGACUUUCUGGUCUGU
rnacentral:rRNA from 1 species